ACAAUUUUUGUAUUUGCUUUUGGUUGUUGCUGUUGCUUUUGGCUUUACAGAGUCAGUCAGCAGUUUUCAGUCAUCGAGCUAUUAGUUUCUUUUCAUAUUCAUCAGUCGUUUUAUAGCAACGUGAGUGUUCACAACAUCAUCCAAUAAUACCAAGUAGUCGUCCGAGAAGAAAUAGGAACAAAAAUUAAAAUAAACAUAUAAAAAAAUCAUUUAUCUCCUACGAGUACUUGGAACGUUACGCGGACGCGGAGUGUAAGAAAUAAUAAAAAAAAUUAGUUUUAUUUUGUUUAAGUAAUUGUAGACCAACUACACAAAUAUAAACGAAUGAAAAGAAAAAAAUCACUAUCAUCAAUAUAAAAUGUAGAGGAGCAGAGAGAGAGAGAAUGUAUACAUAUGUUUCUGUGGGUCCCUCUCUCUGUUUAUCACACUGUUCGUAUGAAAAUAAGAAGAAUUAGUAGCAAAGUGUUUGUGUGUUUAUAAUAAUGAUGGACUCUGUCUGUCUGUUAUUAUUUUUAUUUUAUAAUAAAACAGAAAUAAAGAAAAAAAAGUGCAAUUGAGUUGUGUUUACCCCACUGUGUAUUUUAAAACACUUAAUAUAAUAGAGAAACAAUUUAACUGUUGUUGUUGUUGCUGCUGCUGCUUCUUCUUUUAUAACAUUAAUAAGGAAGUGUUGUGAUAAAAAAUAAUAAAAUCAAUUUAUUUGUUAAUAAAAAAAAAAGAAGUUUUUAAAGAAAAUUUAAUAUGUUUUAAAUAAAAGAAAAUUUAUUUAUCAAUUUAUUAUUGGUAAAGAAAUGAACAAAGAAACAGCGAAAAAAAACUAGUUUUAUUACAUUUCAAUGGCAGUUCGCAAUUAUUUGUUUGCAAAUUAAUCAAAUCACUAAAAUAGCAAAAAAAAAAAAAAAUAAACUAAUUCAAAUUAAAAAAAAAACGCAAUUAGUAAAUGAGUGAAAUAAUUACAACAAUUGCAAUAUUGGCAAUUGGAACAAAUCCAAUGUUUUUAAAAACUAAUUUAAAACAACAACUCAACAGUUGCAACAUUAAUUAUCAUUAUACAACAACAAAAAGUGAUUUUUAAGUGAGUGUGACCUCAACGUUAAUUAUCACCAAGAAAAAGGAGUAAAACAUAAUGAAAACAGCAGCAUGUAAGUUUGUAAAAGAAAAAAAAAUCAUUAAUUUGACACACAUUUUUUUAGUUUUUAUAAAAAUUUCAAUAUGAGAGAUUGAUAGAGGGACCCCUUGU